UUCGGCGUAGUUUAACAGGUUAGAACGCUCGCACCAUUCUUCAAACAAGCCAGAGAUCCAGGUUCUAGUCUUGGCGUUGGAC